rnacentral:rRNA from 1 species
GAUACCCUAUUAUUUUAGAUGUUAUUAAUUUUCUAUAAUUAUUAUUAGUUAAGUUCUUUAAAAUUAAACAAUUUGGCGGUAUUUUAGUCUAUUCAGAGGAACCUGUUUUUAAAUCGAUGGUCCACGAUAAUUUUUACUUUAAUUUUAAAUUUAUAUAUCGUCGUUAUUAAUAAUUUUAUGAGAAUUUUAAUUUUUGAGAUUUUUUAUUAUAAUCUAGUUCAGAUCAAGGUGUAGUUUAUAUUAAAGUUAAAAUGGGUUACAUUUCAAUUAUGAUUGGUUCUUUUUUUUUAAAUUUUUAGAUAAAUUGGAUUUGAUAGUAAAUUCUUUAUUUAGNGGAGUUGAUUUAGCUCUAAAAUAUGCACACAUCGCC